UUUGCAGGCUGGGUAAACGAUCCAGGAUCUGUUUUGACACAUUCGCAGAUAGUUCUGAUUGGUAACGUUAGGAUUUAUGUUGACAAUUUCACAUAAUAAAGGGAAUAUAAUAGUUUUUAUUGUAAAAGGAGUAAAAUCACAACCACACGAGUAGUUCAACGGAAGGUACUUUCCUCCUGCGCGGUAAGGCGGUCGAUCUACACCUCAGUCGAGAUUGUACUUGAUGGUAAUGGAACAGUUCUCAAAGCGGGAGUUAUUCAUAACUCCAGAUUUAAUGCUCGAGUCGGACAUGGUGGAACAAUUAAGUUCAUUUUUGACCGUGGUUAUUGUAGAUAAAGUUGCACUCGCACUUUUUUUUGGGGUAGAAGACAGUUCACGAUUAUAGCUACGUAUGGAAGCUUCGUUGCGAUGCCCGGAGAAGUACAUGAUGUGUCUUGCUUCAAAUCCAGCGUCGUUUAUGGCCUGAAUUGCUGUCGCUCUUAGACAGUGAGCUGUGUAACGUUUGCACCCGGCGGCCUUGCAAAUAUCCGGAAGGAAAUUAACAUAUGAUCGAAUUUUCAUGGGAUCGGCUGUGUACCAUAUGUUGCAAUCUUUCGGGUAAGAAAUGGCAUCUUAACGCAUUUAUU